ACCAAAUCCUGAGAGAUUCAUGGUUUCUGCACUAUGUCUUGAAGACUGGGUGCUGGAAGAAUGAAAUCUGUGAUGCUCAGUUAUGAAAUCCAAUACUGGUAAGAAGGAAUUUGUGAAGAAAUACUUGAUGAAGAAAGAACUAAUAUGGGUAAAGAAUGCUACUUAAAAGGAUCUUCUUACCACUACAGAUGAAGAGAAAAAAGAUGGGACACAUUGGACUUGUGAAUAUGUUCUUUCUACACCUGUUUUUGAUGACAAUAUACAAGAUAGAUG